rnacentral:tRNA from 1 species
GGACCCGUAGUUCAAUGGAUAGAAUAGCGGUCUCCGAAGCCGUUGAUACAGGUUCGACUCCUGUCGGGUCCACCA